rnacentral:rRNA from 1 species
AUACGUAGGGGGCAAGCGUUGUCCGGAAUUACUGGGCGUAAAGCGCACGCAGGCUGACUUAUAAGUCGGUAGUCUAAUGCGGAGGCUCAACUUCCGUUUAUCUAUCGAUACUGUAAGACUAGAGUAUGUGAGAGGGAAGUGGACUUCCCGGUGUAGCGGUGAAAUGCGUAGAUAUCGGGAUGAACACCAGUGGCGAAGGCGUCUUCCUGGAACACUACUGACGCUAGUGUGCGAAAGCUAAGUGAGCGAACGGGAUUAGAUACCCCGUUACUCCUAGCGGUAAACGGUGGAUCCAAGGUGUGGGGGUCGCAGGGCAUCCGUGCCGCAGCUAACGCGUUAAGUAACCCGCCUUGGGACUACGUUCGCAAGACUGAAACUCAAAUGAAUUGACUGGG